UACGUAGGGUGCAAGCGUUGUCCGGAAUUAUUGGGCGUAAAGAGCUCGUAGGCGGUUUGUCGCGUCUGCUGUGAAAACUCAGGGCUUAACCCUGAGCCUGCAGUGGGUACGGGCAGACUAGAGUGUGGUAGGGGAGAUCGGAAUUCCUGGUGUAGCGGUGGAAUGCGCAGAUAUCAGGAGGAACACCGGUGGCGAAGGCGGUUCUCUGGGCCUUACCUGACGCUGAGGAGCGAAAGCGUGGGGAGCAAACAGG
rnacentral:rRNA from 1 species